rnacentral:misc_RNA from 1 species
CUCUCUCUCUCUCUCUCUCUCUGGCGCCCCAUUUCUGCGUCUCUCUGCAAUUCACAGUCUUUACAGUGUUGUGUGUGUGGGGGGGUAUAGAUUUUUAGAUCUUUAGCGCAUUUUAUGGAUCUGCAACCCCACAUACGCGCAUUGUCCUCAUUUUCUCUCUCCUAGGGUUUACGGGUUUACUACAUUUCUUUAGCUGUUUACUGUUAGCAAUGCAAUCUCUCAAUGUGACUCCACAAUGCCAUGGAGAGGCUCGCCGGAACCCUAGUAAAUUCCAGUGCGUCCCUGAUCAGUCUGCUGUUCAGCUUCAAGGUCGUCUUGGUUUUUGACAAUGGUCUUUGUGGAUUCUGGUUUGGCUUGAGAAAUGAUGUCAUCCUCUACGCCACCGCCGCCGCCGCUGCGGCUCCUUUGCUUGCUUGCUUUGUUUUUUACUUGUUUAGGGCAUCCAUUACUGCAUAUACGCUUGUCUCCUUCUUCUCAGCCAAAUUGGCAACUAUCUACAAAGGAAAUUUUGGUGGAACAUGCAAGGUUGGAUUCAAUGAGUGUGCCAUUUGCUCGGUCACAGCCACCUCAGAUGCACAUGGUUAAGCCUUCUGUUGCACCUGCACUUCCUCCAGCUUAUCAGGCAUCUGCUUCUGGUCCUAACAGCGCUCCAUUACCAAGACAUCGUGGUCAUCAUCAUCAUCAUCUUCAUCGUGUGAAACCUGCUGUGGUUGCUCCCUCUCCUACUGGGGACCAAAGUUGUGAUCAAGUUUGCAUUGAGCCACUUACGGCAACUCCCUUUGGCUCACCUUGUGGUUGUGUUUUUCCUAUGAAAGUUAGACUUCUUUUAGAUGUGGCUCCCUAUGCUAUUUUUCCUGUAAUGAAUCAGCUAGAGAUUGAGGUUGCAGAGGGCACAUAUUUGGAACAAAGUCAAGUGAAAAUAAUGGGUGCCAGUGCUGAUAGUGACAAUCAGGGAAAAACUGUAGUUGAUAUUAACUUGGUCCCACUGGGAGAUAAGUUUGAUAAUACCACUGCAAUACUAACAUAUGAGAGAUUUUGGCAUAAGAAGGUACCUCUAAAUAAGAACCUUUUCGGUGAUUAUGAAGUGAUAUCAAUUAGUUAUCCAGGGAUUCCUUCUUCACCGCCAUACCCAGAUUACAUGGGGAGUGGUCCUAGUGGAACUGCUGGAGAUCUUCCCAUCACUGCAAAUUUUCUGAGCAAGAGCCAGAAGAUGAAUCUUAGAACUAUUGCAAUAAUUGCUUUAUCAGCAUUUGUGGUCUUACUAGUUAUCAUUGGGGCUGUCUUCAUUUUUAUAAGAUGGAGAAAGUUUGGAAGACCAUCAAGUGCAGUUGGUCCUACAAUUGCAUCAUCCAUAAACAAAAGAUCAGGCAUUGGGUCUUUCUUGUCGAGUAGUAUUGCAAGCUCAACGUCAAUGUCCCUUAUGUCAACCAUGGCUACUUGUAUGCUUUCUGUUAAAACAUUUCCAUACACUGAGCUUGAGAAAGCAACUGAGAAGUUCAGUUCGAAGAGGAUUUUGGGUGAAGGGGGAUUUGGGCGUGUUUACCGUGGGAUUAUGGAAGAUGGAAGUGAGGUUGCAGUUAAACUACUUACACGGGAUAAUCAGAAUGGAGACCGUGAA